GGCCUGCUUGCAUCUUCCACACUUGGACAGUCCUUCUUUCCUGGCGAAGCAGCCGUCGCAGUGGCUGCCGCGCUCGCUGACGGUCAGCACGGCGGUGUAGGCCGGGCAGCUGAAGAGCAGCUCUCCCACGGCGUAGCGCCUCAGAGCCCGCAGGCCCCGGCCCUUGCCGGGACUGGCGAACCUCUCCAGGCCGCCGGGCUGCGGCACCGCCUCCGAGCGCAUCCCUCUGCAGGCGAAGGGGCUACGCCGGCAGGACCCCGGGUUCGCCGACAGGGCCCGGCCCGCCUAACACCGGCAGCGGGCGCCAGGGGAGCGCCUCCUCCGGCCGGCGGGGGAUUGGCGCCGGGUGGGGCACCCGGGAAGCCGCCCUCAAGCUGCGGAGGAGCUGCCGGGCUGGGCGCUGGGAGAGCCGGGCUGGAGCUCCGCUGCGUGCCGGUGGCGGGAAGGGGGUCGCGUCCACUCAGCCGCACGAGCAGGGAGUGCCCAUGAGAAAUGGGUAACGCAGCCCGGGCCGCGGCCCCUAUCUAGAGCGACAGUGGGGCUGCGAAAAACGAAGGCUGCAGACGCAAAGCCACGGGCAGCUGCUGCUCGUAUCGCACGAGACUUCUCCCUAAGUAGGGCGCGGUGUGCGCCAGGUCCUGUCUGCGUUCCCCCCUGUGCCCACACUGAUUAGGAAAUGGCAGAGGGGCUGGUGGCGUGAGGUGGUAAGGCCACCAGCUUGGUCGAAUGGGUAGGAGGUCACAAAAACAGCCAGAGAUGUGGCCUCAGAGUUGCGCUGGGGACUUGGCCUGCUCAGUACUUUCACCCAUGGUCUGUGGCACUCAGGUUAGGUUAUGCUCUGGAGGCUGGAAAGCUCCAGAGGAGCUGGCUGGAGGCUGCCACCUCUGAAGGCUUUAGGGUAAUAUCUUGUGUUAUGAGCAAAAAAAUCCCAUGGAACUGAUGGAAAACUGUCAUAAUCAGGCACAUAAUGUAUUAGGAUUCUCUCAAUAAUAAAGAAAUCAAGCAGCAAGUAAAAGUUCCUGUUGCUGUCAUACAGUCUGAGUAUUACAUCAACAACCGUUCUGCAAUUCUAACAGAACUUCUAACAGUAAACAAAAAUAAAUAAAAACAAUAUCUGAAUUUAUUCAAAAUAAUUACUAUUUUAGAAUUAUUAAGACUGAAUCUAUUAUUAAAAUUUUUAAAAAACACAGCCCAAAAAGAAAUAGUCUCUACUAGUACAAUACUGUAACACUCUGCAGCUCUCCUAUAAAGACAGGCUGAGAGAGCUGGGCUUGUUCAGGUUAACAAAAAGAGCUCUCAGGGGAAGCCUCGUGGUGGCCUUCCAGUACUUAAAGGGAGCUUAAAAAUAGGAGAGAAAUCAAUUUUUUACAUGGGUAGAUAAGUGAUAGGACAGGAAUGAAGAUGAGAUGAUUUGGGACCUACUUCGAAAGCUGGACUCAUAGGUCCAUGGGGCCAGAUGGAUUGCACCCUGAAGUGCCGAGGGAGUUGGCAGAUGUGGUUGCCAAGCCACCCUCCAUCAUCCUUUGACAGUCCUGGCUAACUGGGGAUGUCCAGGCGGAUUGGAGACUGGCAAAUAUGAUGCCCAUCUUCAAAAAGGGACGGAAAGAUGAUCCUGAUAGCUACAGACCUAUCAGUCUUACCUUGGUGCCAGGGAAGGCCAUGGAACGGAUAUUCUUGGGAGCCAUCAUGGAUCAAUUAAAGGUAAACCAGGGGAUCAAUUAAAGGUAAAUGGGGGAUCAGACCCUGUCAGCAUGAAUUUAUGAUCCUGUUUGACAAACCUGAUGUCAUGCUAUGACAAGAUGACCCACUUAGUGGAUGAAGGUAAGGCUGUUGAUGUGGUCUACCUGGACUUCAGUAAGGCCUUUGACACUGUCCCCCACAACAUUCUCGUGGAGAAGCUGGCUGCGCAUGGUUUGGAUGGGUGAUGCUAAGCUGGGUGAAACACUGACUGGAUGGCCGGGCCCAAAGAACUGUGGUCAAUGGAGUUAAAUCUAGUUGGCAGCCAAGAAGGCCAAUGGCAUUCUGGCUUGGUGUGGUGAGCAGGACUAGAGAAGUAAUCCUGCCCCUGUACUCAGCACUGGUGAG
rnacentral:lncRNA from 1 species